rnacentral:tRNA from 1 species
GGUGGGGUUCCCGAGCGGCCCAAAGGGAGCAGACUGUAAAUCUGCCGUCAUCGACUUCGAAGGUUCGAAUCCUUCCCCCACCACCA